AUUGAACGCUGGCGGCAGGCCUAACACAUGCAAGUCGAACGGUAACAGGCAGAAGUUUGCUUCUUUGCUGUCGAGUGGCGGACGGGUGUAUAAUGUCUGGGAAACUGCCUGAUGGAGGGGGUUAACUACGGGAAACGGUAGUUAAUACCGCAUAACGUCGCAAGCCCAAAGAGGGGGACCUUAAGGCGUCUUACCCUUCGAUGUGCCCAGAGGGGAUUAGCUAGUAGGUGGGGUAACGGCUCACCUAGGCGACGAUCCCUAGCUGGUCUGAGAGGAUGACCAGCCACACUGGAACUGAGACACGGUCCAGACUCCUACGGGAGGCAGCAGUGGGGAAUAUUGCACAAUGGGCGCAAGCCUGAUGCAGCCAUGCCGCGUGUAUGAAGAAGGCCUUCGGGUUGUAAAGUACUUUCAGCGGGGAGGAAGGGAGUAAAGUUAAUACCUUUACUCAUUGACGUUACCCGCAGAAGAAGCACCGGCUAACUCCGUG
rnacentral:rRNA from 1 species